rnacentral:rRNA from 1 species
GACGAACGCUGGCGGUGUGCUUAACACAUGCAAGUGGAGCGACGAACCAGGGCUUGCCCUGGGGCAGAGCCGCGAACGGGUGAGUAACACGUGGGUAACGUACCCCGAUUACCGGGACAACCCGAGGAAACUCGGGCUAAUACCGGAUGUGCCCUCCUCCCAUGAGGGAGGCGCGUAAAGGAAGCUUCGGCCUCCGAAUCGGGAGCGGCCCGCGGCCUAUUAGUUUGUUGGUGGGGUAACGGCCUACCAAGACUGCGAUAGGUAGCUGGUCUGAGAGGACGACCAGCCACACUGGGACUGAGACACGGCCCAGACUCCUACGGGAGGCAGCAGUGGGGAAUCUUGCGCAAUGCGCGACAGCGUGACGCAGCAACACCGCGUGGGGGAAGAAGGCCUUCGGGUUGUAAACCCCUUUCAGGAGGGACGAAGGCCGGCCGGUGAAUAGCCGUGCCGGUUGACGGUACCUCCACAAGAAGCCCCGGCUAACUACGUG